CUUCAGAAUCAGUGUCCGCGAAUAAAAGUUCCAACACCUCAUUGCGGCUUUAUUGAAACUUUAUUGAUGCCACUAGAUAAUAAUAAUAAUAAUGAAAAUAAUAAUAAUCUAAUGCCAAUACUCGCUGACGUUGACAAUAUUGUUCAGAUAAAAUGGCUCACUCUCACACAAGCUCCGCUUUUUUUCGCACUGAUUCAAUGCACUCUAUCUCGAAGAUUUUGUAUAGGAGCAUGGCGUUUUUUUCAGUCAGAGAUGAAGUAUUACAUGUCUGCUAUCUAGUGCAGGGGAGGUUGCAUGAAAUUUGACACCAUAUUUGACAAAAUAGUCCGUUUUAUUCAGUGCCGCAUCUUGUCGAGUAAACUCGACCGUGGCGCCAAGAGGGUUAAUCACUUAAUUAGCCCUCGCAUUGAGUUCCUCAGUGAGGUUAAAAUUAUAUUAGAUACACCAGUAGAAAUAUUUGAGAUCGGAAGUUGGUGCCUGUGCAAGCAUUACAAGAUAAGUCUAUGGCAGUCGUUGGUCAAUAUAAAAUGAAAUACUCUGCAUCUACAAAGCCUUCGGUUUCCUUUAAGACUUCCUCUAAAGCUUCUAAGAUGUCUUCAUCAGUAUGGAUGUUAUUGUUGUGGAUCAAUCAAACAUCUUGCGAAUGAUUCUAGAUACCCUGCUGUUUCAGGAAAAUGCCAAAAUUGUCAAAAGAUUGGACAUUAGGGCAUUAACCCUCUUGGCGCCACGGUCGAGUUUACUCGACAAGAUGCGGCACUGAAUAAAACGGCCAAUUUUGUCAAAUAGGGUGUCAAAUUUCAUGCAACAUCCCCUGCACCAGAUAGCAGACAUGUAAUACUUCAUCUCUGACUGAAAAAAACGUCAUGGUCCUAUACAAAAUCUUCGAGAUAGAGCGCAUUGAAUCAGUGGGAAAAAAGCAGAGCUUGUGUGAGAGUGAGCCAUUUUAUCUGACCAAUAUUGUCAACGUCAGCGAGUAUUGGCAUUAGAUUGUUAUUAUUUUCAUUAUUAUUAUUAUCUAAAGGCAUCAAUAAAGCUUCAAUAAAGCCGCAAUGAGGUGUUGGAACUUCUAUUCGCGGACACUGAUUCUGAAGGGGAAUAUCUGCAUUCAGAAGAUGACGGUGAUGCUGAAAGUGAAAGUAUAGCCACCAAGCACAGUAGGUGAAUCCUUUGCCCAAUGUAAAUAAAUGGUCCUUUGCCAAAUGUCAGAGGUGUGAACAAUGUUUGCAGGGGUCGGAGUGUUCAUCGCAAAAUUAGCAGGCGUGUUAUUGUUGCGGGGACGAGGCGGGAGAUUUUUACCGCGCUAGACAUGUAUAUUUGUCUUCUGACCGCACCUCUCAGCAAUCGCGGACACAGUUUCACGAGUUCACAUCUACGUAUAUUAAUACCGUAAGUUUAUGCGUAUUUGGCGUGCUGUCCGGGUGGAGGGCUCCGAGCUCGGGAUGUGGCCCGAACCCAGAGUACUCCCCCCGGUUGUGGUAAGAGUAGAUGGAUCUAUAGUGAGGAGAAAUGGGGUGGAGGAGGGAUGCUGAAAACCGUCAAUGAACAGAGAUAGGUUCUGCUGUUAUUUAUACCUUGUCAUGAGUUGAUUACUGAUUGGUCUCCACUUGUGUUAAUCAGGUAAUUAAUGAACUGCGACUGUUCCUCCUGAACUUUGUUAUAAAACAGCAUUUCACGAGUUCACAUCUACGUAUAUUAAUACCGUAAGUUUAUGCGUAUUUGGCGUGCUGUCCGGGUGGAGGGCUCCGAGCUCGGGAUGUGGCCCGAACCCAGAGUACUCCCCCCAAAAACAAGAGAGCAAAAGGACAGCCGCCGGACUAUGAACCCCCCAAAACGCAGAGAUUUGGCGGGCUGACGUUUUUAGAAGUAUGGUCGUUUGACCAGGAGAUCUCGCAUUGCCUCUGGCAGAAGUAGAGGAGCAGGCAGGUCCUGUUGGUUAAUAGUUGAGGAAGAAGCAGUUACGAUGUCAGGAAGACGGGCUCUACCGUCUGCCUGCGAGGUGUAAUGAUAUAUUGACUAGAUGCGUAAUGUAUCCGCUGGGAGGCUGAGGCUCGCUGGACAGAUAGAGGAAACAAAUUAUAUUCCUGCAUCCGCUGGAAGACUGGCUCGCUGGAUGAAGAACAGAAAGAGAUGGAUGCAUACUGCGUCCACUGGGAGACUGAGGCUCGCUGGACGGGUAGAGGAAUGAAUAGGUAUUUACUGCGUCCGCUGAGACACUAGUGCUCGUUGGACAGACAGAGGAAACCAAUAGAUAUUACUGCGUCCGCUGGGAGACUGAGGCUCGCUGGACAGAUAUGGGAGACGAAUUAUGUCCCUGCGUCCGCUGGAAGACUGGGCUUGCUGGACGAAGAACAGGAAGAGAGGACGGACAGUGGAAACGAAUAAAUAUUUACUGCGUCCGCUGAGAGACAAGUGCUCGCUGGACGGGCAGUGGAAACGAAUAAAUAUUUACUGCGUCCGCUGAGAGACUCGUGCUCACUGGACGGACAGUGGAAACGGAUGAAUAUUUACUGCGUCCGCUGAGAGACUCGUGCUCACUGGACGGACAGUGGAAACGGAUAAAUAUUUGCUGCGUCCUCUGAGAGACUGGGCUCGCUGGACGGACAGUGGAAACGGAUAAAUAUUUACUGCGUCCGCUGAGAGACUAGUGCUCGCUGGACGGGCAGUGGAAACUAAUAAAUAUUUACUGCGUCCGCUGAGAGACUGGUGCUCGCUGGACGGGCAGUGGAAACGAAUAAAUAUUUACUGCGUCCGCUGAGAGACUCGUGCUCGCUGGACGGGCAGUGGAAACUAAUAAAUAUUUACUGCGUCCGCUGAGAGACUCGUGCUCGCUGGACGGGCAGUGGAAACUAAUAAAUAUUUACUGCGUCCGCUGAGAGACUCGUGCUCGCUGGACGGGCAGUGGACACGAAUAAAUAUUUACUGCGUCCGCUGAGAGACUCGUGCUCGCUGGACGGGCAGUGGACACGAAUAAAUAUUUACUGCGUCCGCUGAGAGACUGGUGCUCUCUGGACGGACAGUGGAAACGGAUAAAUAUUUACUGCGUCCGCUGAGAGACUCGUGCUCGCUGGAC
rnacentral:lncRNA from 1 species